CCUGGCUCAGGAUGAACGCUAGCUACAGGCUUAACACAUGCAAGUCGAGGGGCAGCAUGGUCUUAGCUUGCUAAGGCCGAUGGCGACCGGCGCACGGGUGAGUAACACGUAUCCAACCUGCCGUCUACUCUUGGACAGCCUUCUGAAAGGAAGAUUAAUACAAGAUGGCAUCAUGAGUCCGCAUGUUCACAUGAUUAAAGGUAUUCCGGUAGACGAUGGGGAUGCGUUCCAUUAGAUAGUAGGCGGGGUAACGGCCCACCUAGUCUUCGAUGGAUAGGGGUUCUGAGAGGAAGGUCCCCCACAUUGGAACUGAGACACGGUCCAAACUCCUACGGGAGGCAGCAGUGAGGAAUAUUGGUCAAUGGGCGAGAGCCUGAACCAGCCAAGUAGCGUGAAGGAUGACUGCCCUAUGGGUUGUAAACUUCUUUUAUAAAGGAAUAAAGUCGGGUAUGGAUACCCGUUUGCAUGUACUUUAUGAAUAAGGAUCGGCUAACUCCGUGCCAGCAGCCGCGGUAAUACGGAGGAUCCGAGCGUUAUCCGGAUUUAUUGGGUUUAAAUGGAGCGUAGAUGGAUGUUUAAGUCAGUUGUGAAAGUUUGCGGCUCAACCGUAAAAUUGCAGUUGAUACUGGAUAUCUUGAGUGCAGUUGAGGCAGGCGGAAUUCGUGGUGUAGCGGUGAAAUGCUUAGAUAUCACGAAGAACUCCGAUUGCGAAGGCAGCCUGCUAAGCUGCAACUGACAUUGAGGCUCGAAAGUGUGGGUAUCAAACAGGAUUAGAUACCCUGGUAGUCCACACGGUAAACGAUGAAUACUCGCUGUUUGCGAUAUACAGCAAGCGGCCAAGCGAAAGCGUUAAGUAUUCCACCUGGGGAGUACGCCGGCAACGGUGAAACUCAAAGGAAUUGACGGGGGCCCGCACAAGCGGAGGAACAUGUGGUUUAAUUCGAUGAUACGCGAGGAACCUUACCCGGGCUUAAAUUGCAGAUGAAUUACGGUGAAAGCCGUAAGCCGCAAGGCAUCUGUGAAGGUGCUGCAUGGUUGUCGUCAGCUCGUGCCGUGAGGUGUCGGCUUAAGUGCCAUAACGAGCGCAACCCUUGUUGUCAGUUACUAACAGGUUCCGCUGAGGACUCUGACAAGACUGCCAUCGUAAGAUGUGAGGAAGGUGGGGAUGACGUCAAAUCAGCACGGCCCUUACGUCCGGGGCUACACACGUGUUACAAUGGGGGGUACAGAGGGCCGCUACCACGCGAGUGGAUGCCAAUCCCCAAAACCUCUCUCAGUUCGGACUGGAGUCUGCAACCCGACUCCACGAAGCUGGAUUCGCUAGUAAUCGCGCAUCAGCCACGGCGCGGUGAAUACGUUCCCGGGCCU
rnacentral:rRNA from 1 species